rnacentral:lncRNA from 1 species
GUAGGUUUCUAGAGUUCCAUAUUUCUUUUCUAUUGUUCUUGAGAACCACUUAUUUCAGCCAUUUUCAGGGUGUAAGAGUAGGGUGACUCAUGGCCACUAGAUUUGGGCUUCCUGCCCACCACAUGGAUAAGUGGCAGCUAAUUUUGGGAGUUGGACUUUGGACCACUGGCAAUGGCCCAUGCCGCCAUCUCUGGUGAUCAGGAACUAAUGUACAGAGAUGAGACUGGACCAGAGAGGUGGAUGUCUCGGGACAAGUCAGAAGAGAUACAACCAGCCAAAGGCAUAUUCUUGCACAAAUGUCAGCUAUUUUGGUGAAUUAUGGGAGGGACUAAAGGGGACCUCAAGAACUGGAAUGGAAGCAAAAACCCUUUCAGCUAAGGUCAGUAAUUUCCCUGGAGACUGUGAGGUGUGUGUAUAUAGGGGGUGGAGAGGAGAGUUGGGGUUGGGGGGAUUAGGGAGGGGAGUUAUUAAUAUCUGCAAGUGUAGCAAGGAAUCUGCAUGGUUUGCACUUUUUGUGUCCCUUCAUAGGAAUGUUGAUCAAAGAGUGCAGAGCUCAGAGAGGCAGGAUCUGCCCUGCAAACUCUUCUGGUGCUGGGAAUUUGGAGAGGAAUUGAUUGGGAGGUCUCCUGGAGAUAAGGCAACGGAAAGGAGGCGUUGCCAUGGCAAAGUAUACAGGCAUUUUUUUUUCUUUUAUGAGUUCGGCUCCACAGACCCAAAUAUACAUAGCUAUCCACAGGAGAGGGUGAGUGUAAGUGGAUCAUGGCCAUAUAUGAAGAGGAAAUAGAUCCCAUUUUUG